rnacentral:rRNA from 1 species
UACGUAGGUGACAAGCGUUGUCCGGAUUUACUGGGCGUAAAGAGCGCGCAGGCGGUCGAUCAAGUCGAGUGUGGAAGCCCCCGGCUCAACUGGGGAGGGUCAUUCGAUACUGAUCGACUCGAAGGCAGGAGAGGGUAGUGGAAUUCCCGGUGUAGUGGUGAAAUGCGUAGAUAUCUGGAGGAACACCGGUGGCGAAGGCGGCAUUCUGGACCAAUAUUGACGCUGAGGAGCGAAAGCCAGGGGAGCAAACGGG